CCGGGGGGACGGGGGUGGUUCGCCACUCGCGACGUCUUGAGAAGUCCAUUGAACCUUAUCAUUUAGAGGAAGGAGAAGUCGUAACAAGGUUUCCGUAGGUGAACCUGCGGAAGGAUCAUUG
rnacentral:rRNA from 2 species